rnacentral:miRNA from 1 species
GGUUUCCUUCCGGUCGAUGAGGUAGAUGUACCUCAUCAAUCGGAGGGGUUUCCUUCCGGUUGAUGAGGUACAUCUACCUCAUCGACCGGAAGGAAACC